rnacentral:rRNA from 1 species
GAUGAACGCUGGCGGCGUGCCUAAUACAUGCAAGUUGAGCGAACAGACGAGGAGCUUGCUCCUCUGACGUUAGCGGCGGACGGGUGAGUAACACGUGGAUAACCUACCUAUAAGACUGGGAUAACUUCGGGAAACCGGAGCUAAUACCGGAUAAUAUAUUGAACCGCAUGGUUCAAUAGUGAAAGACGGUUUUGCUGUCACUUAUAGAUGGAUCCGCGCCGCAUUAGCUAGUUGGUAAGGUAACGGCUUACCAAGGCGACGAUGCGUAGCCGACCUGAGAGGGUGAUCGGCCACACUGGAACUGAGACACGGUCCAGACUCCUACGGGAGGCAGCAGUAGGGAAUCUUCCGCAAUGGGCGAAAGCCUGACGGAGCAACGCCGCGUGAGUGAUGAAGGUCUUCGGAUCGUAAAACUCUGUUAUUAGGGAAGAACAAAUGUGUAAGUAACUAUGCACGUCUUGACGGUACCUAAUCAGAAAGCCACGGCUAACUACGUG